rnacentral:lncRNA from 10 species
GGCUCCUCGUGCUGGGGCUCUGGCUGGCGUUGCUGCGCUCCGUGGCCGGGGAGCAAGCGCCAGCUCCUGGAGCGCGGACCUGGACAAGUGCAUGGACUGCGCGUCUUGCAGGGCGCGACCGCACAGCGACUUCUGCCUGGGCUGCGCUGCAGCACCUCCUGCCCCCUUCCGGCUGCUUUGGCCCAUCCUUGGGGGCGCUCUGAGCCUGACCUUCGUGCUGGGGCUGCUUUCUGGCUUUUUGGUCUGGAGACGAUGCCGCAGGAGAGAGAAGUUCACCACCCCCAUAGAGGAGACCGGCGGAGAGGGCUGCCCAGCUGUGGCGCUGAUCCAGUGACAAUGUGCCCCCUGCCAGCCGGGGCUCGCCCACUCAUCAUUCAUUCAUCCAUUCUAGAGCCAGUCUCUGCCUCCCAGACGCGGCGGGAGCCAAGCUCCUCCAACCACAAGGGGGGUGGGGGGCGGUGAAUCACCUCUGAGGCCUGGGCCCAGGGUUCAGGGGAACCUUCCAAGGUGUCUGGUUGCCCUGCCUCUGGCUCCAGAACAGAAAGGGAGCCUCACGCUGGCUCACACAAAACAGCUGACACUGACUAAGGAACUGCAGCAUUUGCACAGGGGAGGGGGGUGCCCUCCUUCCUAGAGGCCCUGGGGGCCAGGCUGACUUGGGGGGCAGACUUGACACUAGGCCCCACUCACUCAGAUGUCCUGAAAUUCCACCACGGGGGUCACCCUGGGGGGUUAGGGACCUAUUUUUAACACUAGGGGGCUGGCCCACUAGGAGGGCUGGCCCUAAGAUACAGACCCCCCCAACUCCCCAAAGCGGGGAGGAGAUAUUUAUUUUGGGGAGAGUUUGGAGGGGAGGGAGAAUUUAUUAAUAAAAGAAUCUUUAACUUUAAA